UCCCCUGAGAGACAACACACACUAAUGCUUCAUGAGGCGGAAACGAAAGCUUGAUAUCGUUAAUUUGCAUAACACACAUACACUGGUGUAUCAUUGCUCUUUCAAUGAAAUAAAUUCAUGUGGGUUUAAAUCAAUAAUAGGGGUUGUUUAGUUUGGAUUGAUUCCAUUUUUAGUUUGUUUAAAUAUUAUGAAAUACGAUACUUCUUUCCAUGUACGACUAUUUCGCUACAUGUACAUACAGUCAGGCACACUCUGCAACCAUCGAUCAGUUAAGGUCAUUCUUUACUAGAGCCGAAGCACGUGUUUUUUAAAUGUGAUCGGGAUUGUGAAUUACGACGUGUGAAAGAAAGUGUGAAUAAAUUCAACAUGAAGUAAAGGAUAAAGAAGAUCUAAGGUGACAGGAAUGGAAGAAAAUGAACAGGUAUUAGAACAGCUAACGACAAAUGGUGAAGUGAAUAGAAAGAAAUAUAAAGACAGACAUACGUUUGUAUGCUCGACAAGAUGGCGGACCGUAUACCUCGUGUACAUAGCCUACGCCCUACUGUUUAUACACCGGGUCAACCUCAGUCUAGCCGUUGUCUGCAUAGUGGACUUGGAUGUCGAGGAGGGCAAAAACACAAACACAAGAAUGGACAAUAUUGUUGCUGCUGAAAAUCGCACAUCAGAACUGAUAGAUGAUGGAUAUGAAACCAUUAACAAUAUCGCCAAUGCAAUAGAUCAAAAUAAUACAUUAUGGCCAGUUGAAGUGGGUAGAUCUUCGAAAAACGAUAUCAGAAGACAGUUUAAAACAGAGGAUGAAAACUUAACCGCAGACGCGACUACUAUGGCUCUGGUAAAACGCAAUACGUGUGGCUCGGGUAACGUCAAAAGAAAAGGUCCAAAAUCGGAUAUAAAAUGGAGAAAGUCGCUUAUUUCAAUUUUGCUAUCUUCGUAUUUUUAUGGGUCACUAUUUACCCAGAUCCCAGCAGGAACCCUUGCAGACAUAUUCGGCGGAAAACAUAUUAUGACGGGGGCAAUGGUUUUAACGGCUGUUUGCUCUUUCCUUGUGCCUGUGUGUGCCAGAACAGGCAUUGAAUGGGUGUUUGUCUUGCGCAUACUUAUCGGGUUUGCUGGGGGAUCGGUCAUUCCUGCUGGUAAUUCCAUUAUAGCCGCUUGGGGACCACCAGCCGAGCGUCCAAGUAUGCUGGCAGUGGUGGCCACAGGUUUACUUUUUGGUGCUGUUGUAUCAUUUCUUACUUCUGGAUUGCUUUGUGAACACGGCUUUGCUAACGGAUGGCCUUCGAUAUUCUAUAUACAUGGUUUUCUGGCUGUUCUUUUUGUGAUAAUGUGGCUUUUUGAUGGAUAUAGUUUACCAAAACACCAUCCUAGAAUAUCGAAAGAAGAAUUAGAAUACAUAGUCGAGUCGAAAAGGCUCGUUUCUACUGUGAAUAAGUCUCAAGGUACGCCCUGGAAAGGCAUUCUGACCUCAAGGCCGAUGUGGGCGUGCUUUAUUACGCAUUUCUGCUUCAACUGGAGUUUCUUCACUGUCAUCAUCAAUGUGCCAUUAUUUCUGAAAGAAGUUCUCAAGUACGACAUAACGUCAAAUGGCGUUUACUCCGCUCUGCCAUACAUAUUCCAAAUUUUUAGUGGACUUGCCUCGGGAAAGAUUUCAGCUGCCAUAUUGAAAAAGAAGUGUUUAAGCCAUCUUGUUACCAGACGUCUUUUCCAAACAAUGUGUUCAAUAGGGUGUGGCGUAUGUCUGAUCUUAGCUGGUUAUGUCACGUGUGAGGUACGUCACAUUGCGGUGGUGCUUCUGUGCUGCUCGGGCAUUUUCGGAGGCAUGGCGUGUGCAGGAUUCUUUGUAAAUCAUCCAGAGUUCUCCGGACAAAACCUGUACUUAUGCCCGUUGUGGGAGUCCAUGAAAAAACGCCAUUCUGCCUUUUGUGUAAGAGGCGGACCGAGGAUAACCGUACCAGGGUUGGAUAGCUGUGAUGAUAAGUUGUUUUUUUCCGAUUACCCUGCCAAGGUUGAGCUAUGUCUUAAUACCAUUUUCACACUUAUAACCGGCGCUUUUUGUCUCGGCUUAAAAUGAUAAGACCGUCUAUGAAAUAUUACAUCAAAUUUUCGGUAAAAGAAACUACCGAAAAAAACAGACAAGGUGAAAACAAAAAUAGCGGUCAUGGAGCCGAUUUCAAAUUUUAGGGUAAGCCAGGAAACCAGAAACAAUGUAAGACAAUACGCCUUACCUUAUUAUCUGAGGUGUGGAAUUAAAAUGGUAACUUAGCGAGUGAAUGAACAUCCGCUGCUUGUUAUCUUAAUGAUAAGUUUAGGUGUUCAAUGUACUUGUUUCAGAUUUUCAGGAACUACGUUUGGAAUAACUAACGCAGGGGGCGUAGUAUCAUCCAUAUUGGCGUCAAUGAUCGCCGGUCUUUUAACACCUAAAGGUCUUCAAAGUGAAUGGCAAGUCGUGUUUUAUAUCGCUGCAGUUGUUAAUUUCGUCG